rnacentral:rRNA from 1 species
GACGAACGCUGGCGGCGUGCUUAACACAUGCAAGUCGAACGAUGAAGCACCAGCUUGCUGGUGUGGAUUAGUGGCGAACGGGUGAGUAACACGUGAGUAACCUGCCCCUCACUCUGGGAUAAGCCUGGGAAACUGGGUCUAAUACUGGAUACGACCGAUCUCCGCAUGGAGUGUUGGUGGAAAGUUUUUGUGGUGGGGGAUGGACUCGCGGCCUAUCAGCUUGUUGGUGGGGUAGUGGCCUACCAAGGCGACGACGGGUAGCCGGCCUGAGAGGGCGACCGGCCUCACUGGGACUGAGACACGGCCCAGACUCCUACGGGAGGCAGCAGUGGGGAAUAUUGCACAAUGGGCGAAAGCCUGAUGCAGCGACGCCGCGUGAGGGAUGACGGCCUUCGGGUUGUAAACCUCUUUCACCAGGGACGAAGCUAACGUGACGGUACCUGGAGAAGAAGCACCGGCUAACUACGUG